UGGGGAAUAUUGGGCAAUGGGGGAAACCCUGACCCAGCAACGCCGCGUGAGAGAAGAAGGUUUUCGGAUUGUAAAGCUCUGUCCUAUGGGACGAAAAAAAUGACGGUACCAUAGGAGGAAGCCCCGGCUAACUUCGUGCCAGCAGCCGCGGUAAUACGGAGGGUGCAAGCGUUAUUCGGAAUUACUGGGCGUAAAGCGCGUGUAGGCGGUCCUGCAAGUCUGAUGUGAAAGCCACGGGCUUAACCCGGGAAGUGCAUUGGAAACUGUGGGACUUGAGUAUUGGAGAGGCAGGCAGAAUUCCUGGUGUAGCGGUGAAAUGCGUAGAUAUCAGGAGGAAUACCGGAGGCGAAGGCGGCCUGCUGGACAAAUACUGACGCUGAGGCGCGAAAGCGUGGGGAGCAAACA
rnacentral:rRNA from 1 species